CUGUUUUUAAUUGCAAAAUCUGCCCAGCAGUUGGUAAAACGAGACAAAGUUAAUUGUUCCCUAAAUUUGACUUUGCCUUACUCAUUCAGUUUUACACAUACAAUUCAUGUGCCCUUAUACUGACAAACUUGUUAUGGGCAUACAAGACAUGGAUGGAUCCCAGAGUCCUGCAACUGAAUAAAAAUUGUGUUUGCACACAGUGAAUACAGUUCAAGGGUGCAGUGAAAAUUUUCAUGUGUUCAGCUGCUUGAGGAAAGAAGCCUUGCAUGCUGUAAGGAAACGCAUUUGUGAAAGUUUCAAGCUGACCUGUGAUCUUCAAAGAGCUGCUUUUUACGCUGUGCCCUUGCAUCACAUUCUUGCAGUGAUAAAAAGUUUAUAAAACUAUUUUAACAAACUAAUUCCAGUCGAAAACUGGAAGAUGUCGAUCAGAAGCAGGAUUGCCUAUAUGAAAAUAACCAGGAUGAGGGCACACAAAGCAGUUGGAGGAAAAGGGUGGGAAGCAAAGCAUCGGGAGCAAAGCUGAAUGAGAGCUGAGCUGUGUAGUUCACAGACCAACUCCUGCAUCCAGCCCAGAGAAGUAAUUCACACCUUGUACUGCUCGUAUUCAGGAAUGGCAAUAUUCAAGAUCCCUUCUUAACCUUUCUUCAGCUUCUGUACUGUACCUGUGUUGUACUCGUUACAUUAUUCCAUUAAGGUGUGUUGUGAAUCUGUAGGCGAUGUUGAGUGAGCUUUAUUAACUUCCAGAGCACUUCAAGACCAGAGAAUCAUUUAUAUUACUGUGAUCACCUGCCAGUUUUACUAAUCCAGCCAUUAGAAACGCACAUGCUAGAAAUGAGAAAUUGCUCUCGGAUCAGACGUGAACGUUGGUGACAUUUCUGAUUGUGUGGAGCCUCCGCUGAGGGCUGAGCACCCAAACCACGAAGCACUCUCAACUCACAUUGAAGUUAAUGAGAGUUAAGAGUUCUCAGCACUCCGCAGCGUCGGACUUCAAAGUUGUGUUUUGAAGACAACAAAGUCAAGAGAUGGAAGUGGUAUCUUGAAGAGUGGGAAUGACAAGGCAACAGAUAAUGUCAUAAUGAGGAAAGUUAGAUGUCUGUCAUUUGUGUUUCAGAGCAAGAGCUCCCACACCUAGUGCUGAUGAAUUCUGCUGAACUGGGUACUUGGCUUCCUUGUGGAUAUCCUGUUCUCCUGUGAAUCACUGUUCCUCCUCAAUGCAUCCUCCAACUGAGAUCAAAGACACAGAAUAUAUUAGGUAUGAAGGCAUCAGACAGCUCAAACAGAUUAGAAAAAGCACACGCAAAGAAAUGCAUCCCAGCUUCUCUCUUGUGUCCUGCUGAAAAUGGGCACAGCGCAAAGCAUUUGCAAUAUAGAAACAGUAGACGGGGGGAAAAAAGUAGGGGGGG